rnacentral:lncRNA from 1 species
CCAUCGCAAAAGCUAGGAGACCUUGUUCAUCCUCCAUGUGUUUUUUAAUAUAUCCAUUCAAGAAACUCCACGGAAGGCAUUCUGUGUCUCCUUUCUUCUUCAAAUGCUGAUCCACUUCCACCGUAGUCAUUCCUAACAACUUGGCCAACUUUCGUCGGUGUCCCGUCUUCUGGGCCCUCCAAUAGAUCUUGUCAGGCUGCAUGUGAUCUAUUCGAAGCAGAGAGGAGUACUCUUCUAUGGUAGGGGUCAUGUCCACCUUGUUAAAGACAAAGCAACGAUAUGAGGGAUCCCAAAAUUGGACAAUGGCUCGGAGCAUCUGGUCA